GAUGAACGCUGGCGGCGUGCCUAAUACAUGCAAGUCGAGCGAACAGAUGAGGAGCUUGCUCCUCUGACGUUAGCGGCGGACGGGUGAGUAACACGUGGAUAACCUACCUAUAAGACUGGGAUAACUUCGGGAAACCGGAGCUAAUACCGGAUAAUAUAUUGAACCGCAUGGUUCAAUAGUGAAAGACGGUUUUGCUGUCACUUAUAGAUGGAUCCGCGCCGCAUUAGCUAGUUGGUAAGGUAACGGCUUACCAAGGCAACGAUGCGUAGCCGACCUGAGAGGGUGAUCGGCCACACUGGAACUGAGACACGGUCCAGACUCCUACGGGAGGCAGCAGUAGGGAAUCUUCCGCAAUGGGCGAAAGCCUGACGGAGCAACGCCGCGUGAGUGAUGAAGGUCUUCGGAUCGUAAAACUCUGUUAUUAGGGAAGAACAAAUGUGUAAGUAACGAUGCACGUCUUGACGGUACCUAAGCAGAAAGCCACGGCUAACUACGU
rnacentral:rRNA from 1 species